GACGAACGCUGGCGGCGUGCUUAACACAUGCAAGUCGAACGGAAAGGCCCUGCUUGCAGGGUACUCGAGUGGCGAACGGGUGAGUAACACGUGGGUGAUCUGCCCUGCACUUCGGGAUAAGCUUGGGAAACUGGGUCUAAUACCGGAUAGGAGCCAUCUUUAGUGUGGUGGUUGGAAAGUUUUUUCGGUGUAGGAUGAGCUCGCGGCCUAUCAGCUUGUUGGUGGGGUAAUGGCCUACCAAGGCGGCGACGGGUAGCCAGCCUGAGAGGGUGUACGGCCACAUUGGGACUGAGAUACGGCCCAGACUCCUACGGGAGGCAGCAGUGGGGAAUAUUGCACAAUGGGCGCAAGCCUGAUGCAGCGACGCCGCGUGGGGGAUGAAGGCCUUCGGGUUGUAAACUCCUUUCGCUAGGGACGAAGCUUUUUUGUGACGGUACCUAGAUAAGAAGCACCGGCUAACUACGUG
rnacentral:rRNA from 1 species